rnacentral:rRNA from 1 species
CCUAGUCUUAUCGGGUGGAUCACUCCGGCUUCGUAGGUCGAUGAAGAAACGCAGGCUAACUGCGAUAAAUAGUGUGAACUGCAGAAACCUUGAACACAAAAGCUUCGAAUGCACAUUGCACCAUGGGAGUCUUAUCCCUUGGUAUGCCUGGUUUCAGGGUCGUA